UGUUAUGGAACUGCUUGUUUCUCUGUGGGCCGCGCCGGCUGGCUCAUCGCUUCUCUGGAUGUAGUCCCAUCCCGGGCCCGCAGUCCGCACAAUCGAUAUCAACGAAAGCUACAAUGUCUGUAGCAAAAUAGACCUACACAACACUUUCCAAAAGAAUCACAAAAUCGAUAACCUCAAACAGCCGGAACUAUUAACAAAUGAACAACAUUAACAGCUGUAACAACAAGAAAAUGUAAACAACAAAGAUCGUGUCCCGGUUAUGGACCCAGCGUACCUGAGACGAUCACCUGAUCUCGUCUCCCUCAUUUUGGCCACUAGAUGGCCUGCAUCAGCCCGUGUCAGCUGUCAUGCCCCCUCUCCCCAUCAAUUGAAGCUUAGCCGGACAUUCUUUUUCUACUUCACCAAACGGUUUCAUGUAAAUGAACAAAUUAGCCAACAAAUCGGGAAAAUCCCCACAAGCAAAUCCCCAAAAACAC